ensembl:processed_transcript
AAAGUGACUUUCCAGGCAAGCUGCGCAUAUCUUGGGAUCUUCACAGCACAGUGGCUGGGAAGGCAGGCGAACUUGUCUAUCAGCUUCUCCCUGAAUAACUGGGAGCUGAAACAGGAAGCCCCAUGACACAGUUGAUCGAAAAUGACACAGACACAGAAAAAUCAGGACGUGCCCCCAGCAGCACCCCUACCUGCUGCCUGCUGAUCACGGCUGAGAGGCCCGCCCAGGGUUUCCACCCGGGAAUGGACUAACUACUCAGUGCUCAAGGGUGAUGGGCCUGCAGAGCUUUGGUGAUGUUCUUUUACAGCUGGUUUGUUAUCUUUUAAUUAAUCAACUAAUUAAUCUAUUAUUACUUUAUUUAUCGGCCCUCCCCCAUGUCUUGAUCCUUUUCUUCAUUAAAAGCAAAAGGAAAGAAAA